ensembl:lncRNA
AUGACGACCACCACGGAACAAACCACCACCACCUCCACCACACUGGCCCCGACUACACUCUCAACCACAGCAACCACAAUAACCACCACCCAGAGUACAACAACAACACCACCAACCACAACAACUACAACCGCAGCUCCAACCACCACGCAGACUCCCGCCACCACAACACCAUCUCCACCCAUCAUCAUCAUUGCCACAAUGGCUCCAAUAACUCCAGCACCCAGCCCCUCCACCAUCUCCACCACCACCGCAGUUUCUACUACAACUUCUCCACCCACCACCACUGUCAUUGUGAAGAAGCCAAACAAAACCAGUAAAAAGCAAAACAAAACAUCAAAGAAGGUGAAUCCUCAUCCUGCUGGCACCGCAACCUCCGCCCGGCUGACACAGAGCUCCACUGUGACCUCACUUCCUGUUGUCACAGCCAAUGGGGAGGCUGCACCAAGAACCACUAACAAACCACAGCCCAAAACAGAAACUACCACGACUACUUCUACUACUUCUACUACUCCAACUACUACUACUACCACUACCACUACAACUCCGGCUCCAACCACCACUACUACCACCACUACUAGUACUACUACUACUACUACUUCUACUAGUACUACUAGUACUACCACCACUAUGACUCCUCCUCCUGCUGCGACCUGGUCCGCCUCGAGGUCAGCUCCGGAGGAGAGUCCGGUCAUCGUCCCAAAGGUUGCCCUCCAAUCAGACCACACCCUCCAAUCAGACCACACCCUCCAACCAGACCACACCCUCCAACCAGACCACGCCCUCCAACCAGACCACACCCCCCAACCAGACCACACACCCCAACCAGACCACACCCCGCAACCAGACCACACCCUCCAACCAGACCACACACCCCAACCAGACCAUGCCCUCCAACCAGACCACGCCCUCCAACCAGACCACGCCCUCCAACCAGACCACACCCUCCAAUCAGACCACACCCUCCAAUCAGACCACGCCCUCCAGCCCAAUCAGGCCUCUCAGAACUCUAGCGCAGGCCGGGCAAAGGCGGCGGCUUCAGCAACCCGCGGGGUUCUGAAGAGCGGCGCGGUGGCGUUCAUGGUGCUCGGGCUGGCGGCGCUCACGCUGGCGCUUGCCGUUUGCGGCCGCAAAGCGAUGGAGUCCUUUGAUCGGCGCCACUACACCCGGCUGGAGCUCAACGACCUCCACUACGAGGUGUGA